rnacentral:tRNA from 1 species
GCCUGGCUGGCUCAGAUGGAAGGGCACAUGACUCUUGACCUCGGGGUCGUGGGUUCAAUCCCCAUGUUGGGUG